AUUCAAGAAGAAGUAAUCCAAAAUUACAAAGAGCAUCACAGAGUAGUAAUUUGGAGAGGACACCUUCUUUGCCAGUUUUUGUAGACUACAAAGAUGAAAUCCAAGAUGAAGAAAGUGAAUUUUCUAUGGGAAAGUUGAUUAGACAAGCAUCUAUAAACCAUGUAAAAGUCUCACCUCCUAAACAAACUUCACCACAGAGUUGUCUGCAGAGGGCACCUUCUUUACCAGUUUUUGCAGAAAGGGAAGAAAUUCAUGAACCAAAACAAAGUUCACCACAGAGUAGUCUGCAGAGGGCACCUUCUUUGCCAGUUUUUGCAGAAAGGGAAGAAAAUCAUGAUGAGGAAAAUGACUUUUCUGUGGGAAAGUUGAUAAGACAAGCAUCUUUAAGCCAUGCAAGAGUCUU
rnacentral:lncRNA from 1 species